AGUUUUAGAAGAGACUGCAGAGCUCUAAUGUCCCAUUAAGUUGAGCUGCUUCUUGGUUCCCAUCAUUUAUCUUUUGGUUCUAUAAAAAGCAGCACCAACAAGACAAGGUCUUGCUCUGCAGCCUAGAUGGGCCUCACGUGUAUGGCAAGAGUCCUGCUUCAGCCUCUCAGCUGCUGAGAGUCCAGGUGUGACUAACUCCUGGUACAUCUCAGAACACACGUGCGCAACGCUUUCUUGUAGAACUUCGGUUUCCUGGGAACAUUAUUUAUGAACAACUGAAUACUGACAGAGCCGCUACAGGAUGGAAGUCAAGGAAAGUGUUCAGAGCAAAGCUUACUAAUAAAGAGACAUGGAGCUGAGGCUGCAACUCAGUGAUGGACCAUUUGCCUAGCAUGGACAAGGGCAUGGAUCCAAUCCCCUGCACCGUGGAAGUUAAGCAACAACAACAAUAACAAUAGGACAAUUAGAGUCCUGAAACGUUGGUCAUAAGGUCUAUCUUUGAAGACUGGAAAAAAAAUCAGAGAACAUUUGGGAAGAGUUUAAAAAUGUACAGAAUGCCAACAAAGCACUGUGUUCGCAGUGCAGGAUAGAGAAAUGAAAGACAUUGGCCACUUCUACAAAGGAAGAAUGCUAACUACACUACACAGGCCUUUGGGGCCUCUCUGAAAAACGUAAUGAAAUGAGGUCCACCUUGUAUGUUUAUCUUGUCAUGGAAACUAUUUUGCUAUACAGAGGUAACUGAGCCUGGAGCAUAUUUAAAUGUGUGUUUUCUGUUCAGCAUAGCAAUGCUAAGUGUCUCAUGGGUUAUGCUCACAACUACUUUGCCUAAGCCAAUGACAACCUUGUAGCUCUGCACUGGCUCUGACUUCUGGUUUACUCUCACUCUUCAUAACUGUUCUUUAGAAUCGACUUCUUCCCCACAUUCUAAAUCCACCGCAGUCAUCCUUGGUACACUCAAUAAAACGAACUUCAGAAU
rnacentral:lncRNA from 1 species